rnacentral:lncRNA from 1 species
CCCUUACAUUUUACCACAUGUAGCUAAACAAACUGGAAUAGUAAAACAAGCUUUUCUAACCAUACACAGAGAGAUAUAUAAUUAACUAAUAGAGAAACUGUCUCCCGGUAUAUGUCUGACCAAAUGACCAAUUAGGAGGGGCAACAUUGUAAGAAACCAGUCUGCGGCCAUCACUGGUGGUCACAAGAAAGGAGAGGCUUUGUCCAUUGAGGUAAGAAUUGCUCUGCCAGUUUUGGCCCCAGUUUCUUGACAUUGCUUGCCACCGAGUCCUCGAGCCCUUGAUGGCCACAGAUUGCAC